rnacentral:lncRNA from 1 species
AACUUGAUGGUCUUGAAGAAGCCAGCAAGUUCUUGGACACCAUUCCCUUGAAGAAGAGGGACUUUUACGUGCACAACGCUCUCUUGAACUCUUGCAAAACCCACGGCUCCCUGAGCAUUGCCGAGACCACGUUUCAGAAGAUGAUAGACCUCGGCUUGGCUUCCAACAACCCUAAACCCUACAACACCAUGCUCUCUCUCUACCACAGUGCUGGAGAUCACGACAUGGUUGUCAAGCUCCUGCUCGAGAUGGACGACCAAAGAUUAGAACCCCAAGGAGUUCCCUUUGGCAAGCUCUUUUCCUGUUUCGCUCUUGCAUCAUGCGUCAAAGACUCUGUGGGAAUGGAGAAGUUUCUCAACAAGUGGAGGGACCGGAUGGAGCCAUGGGCCACAUGCUUCUUCCCUGCAUGCCUCUAUAUGGAACUUGGAUCUCUUGAUAAGAGUUUGUCUUUGUUUCGUAAGACUGAGGAGUUACUCGAUGAUGACUGCAGAAAAAACAUGUAUGGAGCUCUCAUGAGAGUCUAUUGUCAUAAAGGCGAAAGAGAGGACGUUUACCGUCUCUCCAACUUGGCUAAACUCCACGGGAUAUCCUUCGACGCCACUGUAACUUCUGAGAUGAUCAAGUUCUUUGCCUUGAAGCACGAUUUUGAUGGGGCUCACGAGAUCAUGGAAGAGUGGGAUACAGGGGCUGGAGAUCUUGGUCUUUCAGAUUUUGGUCACCGGAAAAGAUGCAUGAAAGAGGAGGCUGAUAAAGCUAUCAACAUGCUUGGGAAGAAGUGGGAGAGCAAGUGGGAGAGUUUGACUGACAUGUUACAGCAAAACUUGGCGGAGGGUGAGGACGAGGAUGGUGAAAGGGAGAGGAGGAAGAGAGUGACGGAGGCCUUGGAGGGGAGGCUGCACGAACGCUGGAACCCAAAGACCACUAUGACUCUCUCCGCUUACGCCUGCGUGCAGUAUGUCGAGGGUCGAAGGGACAUGGAAAGUGCAGCUGAGAUUCUCAAACUGCUUAACAAACAAGAGCUAGUGUCACGUGCAAUGGACAAAGACAGAUUGUGUUUGAAGAUGGUGGAGGCUAUGAGAGGUGGAGGAUACGUUGGUGGACAAGACUAGCAUAAAUAUUAAUCCAAAAAACAAUAUUUGUAACUCAUAUAAUUGAUUUAACAUUAUUAAUCUAGUAGACCUCAACCAACAGAAAGAAAAAAAGAAGGCUUUAUAAUAUUUAAAUCCAAAUGGUGUUCAAGCAAGACUCUUCUGGCUACAAUCUUACUUCAGUGUUGUACCGACUUUCUUCCACAUGAACAGAAGAGCUUAUAAUAAUAGUUGAUUAACCGUACAAUAUGAACAACGCAAGCCUACAAGGUUGUCAUACCAACGUAUGUGCCCUCACUCGCUUACCAUACGUUUUGGUAUGAGAACCUUGUAGGCUUGCAGGCGCAUGUAUAUGAUCUUGGUGUUAUGUACUCUUAAACUCUUUAUAAUUAUAUUAUUCUCUUUGUUCUUCCUCCAUUUUAUUAUCGAGUAGAAAAAAAGGGGUAAUGAAAUCCAACCAUAAGCUUAUUCUCCAAAUGAAAAGAUCAUCAUUACUCGAAAAGGUUCAUCUACUAAGUUCUGUGCAAAUGCUCACGACCAUCAUUACAAAGAAACAGAGAGGUCAAGAUCAAUCUUACAUAAACCAACAGUUCUCUUUCUCCCAGCUGAGGUUCAGCCCUUGUUUUCCUGUAAAGAGAACAUGAGCUAAAAGAUAUUGGAACAAACAUAACAAGAACAAAAUCACCUCAGACAAAAGUAGUCGAAUGGCAGUGAGAAAUAAUACGAAAAGCUUAGACCUGGGGAGUGUUGUUGUUCAUGGAGAGAAGAAGCCUCUCAACGUAUUUGCCCAUGAUGUCAACCUCGAGGUUCACUUUCUGCCCAACUUUCUUGGUGGGAAUCACGACAUUGAGCUGCGUGUAAGCAACGAGCAUGAAGUUAAAGCAGCUGUCCUCGUCAGACACGUCCACCACCGUCAGGCUCGUCCCGUCGACGGCGACAAAGCCCUUGGGGACAAUGUAUUUGAGCAAAGCCUUGUCCGCUCUCACCUUCACCCACAGCGAAUCUCCCUCGGCUUCCAUCGAAACUAUCACUCCCGUACCGUCCACGUGUCCCUGCACCACGUGUCCGCCCAUGCGGCUCACCGGCUGCAGCGCACGCUCCAGAUUCACCAGAGACCCUCUCUCCAGCUCCUCCAGCGACGUCUUUCGCAGCGUCUCCGGUGCUAGCCCCACUGUGAACUCCUCGGUGUCGAAAUCGGUUACUGUAAGGCAAGUCCCGUUGACGGCGAUGCUGUCGCCAAGCUUCACGUCCUCCAGCACCACUCUCGCCCCGAUUUUAAGGUCGAAUCCGCCGUGGUCAGCCAAUCCCAGAUCCUUUACGUGGCCCAUUUCUUCCACGAUUCCCGUGAACACGGAUCGGAUGCCCAGAUUUUGCCUCCGACAUGAUGUCAGCUUUGUUGAGUCAAAUCUGAGGAGAUUUGGUCUGAGUGAAGCCAAGGUUGGACGAAAUGAUUUGGGAAGCAGAUUCAACGAGUGAGUCCCCAUCAUCGUUCGUGCCGUGAAUUAUUAUCCCAACCACGGCGGCGCUAAGUCCUCGUCUCUCUAGAUCGUGCGUUCUUAAUUACAAUCUCAAAAAUCAAUAGGAUACACAAAAGAACCCUGCCCAAUAACCCAAACCGACCCGACCCAAAAAUAAUACUAGUAAUUUGAAUCUCACAAACACAUCUGUUCAUGGAUUUUGUUUUACUGUAAUUAAGAUUUCAGGUUUCACACAACAGAACCCGAAUAUGUUACCGACACGUGAAAAAAUCCAACAAAAUAAAUUUAGAUAAUUGUUUUCAAAUACUUUAGAUACUUUUAAUAGAUUUAUAUGUUAUUUAAUAUUGUCUAGAUAAUAGAUAACAAUUUCAUAUAUCAAAAAAGCCAAAAACAAUCUAACCCGACAGAAAAUGUGAUAUGACAGUUACGAUUACAAAAAAAAUCAAUGAUGAAAUCCAAAUCGAAUAUUUGUUGGAUGAUAACCAUACAUUGAUAUCAAACUGAUCUUGUUUCACGCUUAUUAACAAUUGAAAUGCUUUCUCGCAUCACAACAUGCCGCAGGCAGCACAAGAGAAAAAAUUUCUAGAUAAAGAUAUUUUUUUUUUGGUUAAAACUGUUUCGAAAGAGAUUCCUUCCUUCCGAAAAGUUCUCUUGAACCCGUCGAAGAAUCUGCGAUAACCAUUACACCUAUAAAACGGAACAAAACGAGAAUAUCUCCGAUUACAAAAACCGGCGGAAAAUGAAAAUAUCCCCAGAAACUUAGCCAAAAUAAAAUCAUAAUAUUGAAUAACAAAGAAGAAAAUACUAUUAGAAAAGAAAUUCCGGUGCCGGUGCUAGAAAGCCACCGGUGCAAGGUCACAAAUUCUUUUUUUCCUCUGACUGCUGACCUUAAAUUAUAUAUAUGGUUAUGUUACAGAGAAAUUCUAUAUGAUAGACCUAAAAAUUUUUUGUCGCAAAUAUAUACCUUAAAAAUAAAAAUGACUAAAAUAGACUUAAAUGUUUUAUCAAAAGAAAUAAAUAUACGUUUAUACCCCUAGGGUUAAUUAAUCUAGACAUUAGAGUUUAGAGUUAAGGGGUGAGGUUUAAGGUUUAGGGUUUAAGGUUUAGGAUUUAAGGUUUAGAGUUGAGGAGGGGGUUUUGGAGAUAGAAUUUCAAAUUUUUUUAAAAAAAAAUAAAAUAAAAUUUUCAAAAUAAAAAAUGCUAUUUUGAUCAUUUUAGUUUUUGAGAUAUAUUUUUGUGACAAAAACUUUAAAAAAUCUAUCUGAGAGAAUUACCCUAUGUUAUAUAUAUAUACUAGGGGUUGGUCCGCCCUACGGGCGGGUGAGUUUACACUAAAAUUAUUUUAUAUUAAAAUAUAUUUUAAUUUUAUAAAAUAUUUAGAAAUUUACUUUAUAUUGAAGAGGGACUUUUACGUGCACAACGCUCUCUUGAACUCUUGCAAAACCCACGGCUCCCUGAGCAUUGCCGAGACCACGUUUCAGAAGAUGAUAGACCUCGGCUUGGCUUCCAACAACCCUAAACCCUACAACACCAUGCUCUCUCUCUACCACAGUGCUGGAGAUCACGACAUGGUUGUCAAGCUCCUGCUCGAGAUGGACGACCAAAGAUUAGAACCCCAAGGAGUUCCCUUUGG